rnacentral:lncRNA from 1 species
UAUAUCUGAAAUUAUGAAUUGUAAUCGUUAGAAAUUUCUCUAAAUGCACCAGUUAGAACCAGAGGGUAUUCAUAGUAAAAAAAAUCAGUCAUACGUCGUCUAUGGUGAGUUAUUAAAUAUUUGAAAUGUCUCAGUUUAGAAAUUCAAGACUAAUUAAGGAACUAAACUAGAUUCUACUUUCAGUAAAGUUGACCUUUAAAGGUUCGUCAAUUAUAAUGACGCCCAGUUCGUUAAUAUAUGUACUUAAGUAUCUUAUCAUCGUGGGUUUUAAAAUGCUUGGUACCUGUUACGUGUAUGUCCAGUUAAUUUCGUCUGUCGUAAAUAAAGAUUAUUAUUUGGUUGGUCAGUUAAUGAUAACAGGAAUGUGUUGAUCAUGUGUAUGCUACUCUUUAUACGUUUUUGCUCAUCAAAAAAGUUCAAAGUUUCAACAAUGUUUGAAAAAGUAGAUUAUCAAAUACAGUUUUACCUAAGAAGUUACGUUUAUUAACCAGAUGUCGUCAAGUAGUCGUCAAAAGCAUUAGGCCUAAUGACAUAUCGUCUAUAGACAAACCGAUUCCGAUACCAAUUAUCUGCAUACAACCUUUGAAUUUUGCAAUUUAUUGACAUAUCCCUUGUCAUAUAAAACAUGUAAAACUUUAUAAUUCAGUUUUGCACAAUGGGUAAUCAUACAUGACAUGAGUCGAAGAGAAACAAACACAACAUCGCUA